rnacentral:lncRNA from 1 species
AACUUGAAAAUUGUUAUUAUCUUAUUAGCUGUGCAAGACAUUCUUCAAUUUGGAAAGGAUUUUCAAAUUUAUAUGAACUUUAUUGUGGUGGAACAUAAUAAAUUGCAUAAAGAGAUGAGAAGAAUGGCUAGGACCAUAUUUUAGCACAAUUUAAGAGUCUAUUCAGCUUUUGCACCACUGAAUGUCCUUCUCGAUGUUCACUUUCCCAUUUGGGUUGCCUAUGUAACGGUUUUAUCUUAUAUAGGUGGAACAAUGAUUGCUGAUUCAGCAAUAUGACCUUCAUAACCUGCAUAUCUUUGUUUUGUCAAUGUUUGUUGCAAGGAUUAUACCUCAGUGGUAUCAGAACUAGGAUUUCUAGCAUUAAUGAAUACUUGAUUUUACAGCAACAUAGUUCACCCAAGGUUGAAUUGUAUUUUUCACUAGAGUGGGGCUGUUCACAGUGUAUAUAUUUCUAGUUUAGAGGUCUUGGAAACAAUAAGUUUUUUUAAACAUAUAGAUUUGCUGAUGAACACUUGGGUCUUCCCCCGAACUUUCUGGCACCUAGCUGGGGUCUAUGGGUGUUCUCUGCAUGAUUUCUGCAAUCUGUCUUCUUAUCAUUAUUGCUCAUUCUUUUUCUUAUGAUAAUUGUUUUUUUGCCCUUCCACCAUGAAAAUACGACUGGUGCCUAUUAAUGAGCAUAUAGCUUCUUAUGGAGGUAGAAAAUUGAACAUAGCAUGGCGUUAAUUAUAAAUUUGUAGGACUUAACAUAUCUGAUAAAGUUUUUUGUUAAUUUUGAAAAGCUACCUCUUAGUUCUAUUUUUCUUUUUUUUAUGCUUCUCUGUUGCUUGUAUAUGAAAGGAAAUAAAGAUACUAAAAUCACCUUGUCAUUAAUAGUUUCGACAAUCUAUAUUUCAACCUGUUGUAUUGUCAGUUCUUCUCCAUGGAUGAAUCUGCUAAAACCUUGCAGGACUUAGUGGUGGGCUAUAUGGGUGUGCCAAAAUAUUCCGGAUUAAGCAUGACUGAACACCCACAGUAUAUCACCGUCAGGUAAUGUAAAUAUUCUUCUCCUUCUGCUUUUUUCACCGUGACAGUGUUACAAAAACUAAAGAACAGUCUUGAGAUGGAUGAGUUAGAUAAUUCAGUAAGUUUUUUAUACUACAUUCUAAUAGAGUUUCCUUUUACAAAUAAAUUCCACAACUGGGGCUGUAUGUGUUGGGAUUAUAUUUUUUGGAUAAUAAGCUAUUAAGCCGCUAGCCACCCCCCAUUCACAGUUUGGAGCCUUAAAUGGCAGGAAUGAACGAGGAAGGGAGAUGCUUAGUCUGGUAGAAAAUCUUUUGGAGAUCACUCCUACAAGAAGCAGUGUAUGCCAGAUAAUUAUUUUGGUUAUGGUUGUGAAUUUUGGGAGAAACUACAUCACAUCAUAACCUCAAGCUGGCAGCUGAGUUCAAAUUUCACUGUUUAUAUCAGGGUAACAGAUGGCCAUUUGUCCUGGAGACUGUUAAAGCUGAUGAUAAGGCGAAAUUAGGUAUGCUUAUUGCUCACUGUGUUGUUAUCCUUUUACACUUCACUAUAAUGAUAACGAACAAAUGACAGUGUGCUUUUAUAUACUGUUACAUUGCUAUGUUUAACAGAGUUCCAGUUAGAUUAAAGUUCCAAUACUGUACAAAUCUCCAGGAGAAGAAUCUGAAAAUCAGCUUUUGAUGUUCUAGUUUAUCUUUUUACUGUUUUCAGGCAAAGGUCCUUCUCAGCCGGCUCCUAGUUUGAUUGGUAACAUUAUAGCAUUUCUUCUAAACUUGGUAAGUUCGGCUUUACAAGCAUCGCAAUCAUUUUGGGAACCCAAGUGAUGCAAGUAGUCUGAAGCUAACAAUGUCAAAUGACCUGAUGCAGGUUGGUCCAAAAGGUCUGGAAUUUGCUCGCUAUUCAUUGGAUUACCAUACAAUAAGGAACUACUUGUAUGUAAAUCGACAGUGGGGAAAACAAAGGUAUAAUCUCUUUUUAUGGUUGCACUCUUUAUUUCUGAUGAAGUAGCUUCUGAUCUGUCAGUCCAAAUAGUCUCUGAUUGGUCAGUGUAACUUUGAUGCUGGCAGAGCUGACAGGCACAUUCCCUCGUAUGCAAAGAGGAUUGUGGAAACUUAUGACACAGAUGGGCGUAUUAAUAUGAUGCUUUCGCAAGAUUGAUUUCUCACUCUAUAGGUACUCGUCUUCUCUCCAACCAGCUGGUAGUUAGUGCAAAUAAUGAUUGGGAAUAUGGAAUCCUUACUUUAUUGAAAAUUAAGUUGUAUCAUAAUUUCUAGCUUAUUCAUUCCUUAUCAGUUCAAUGAGGACUGCGGUAUUCUUGGGUGCCCUUAAAAGUCUCUGCAUUCAUAGUAUCCAGUUUGCAUGUCUUCAUAGAUGAGGCCUACGUUUUUAUACUGUUGCAAACUGGUUUGACCUUGAUUAAGUAUUUUGGUGAAAGAGUUGAGAUUCCUAACUCAAAUUCAUUAAGCUAUAAAGUGUAAAACUGGUACAAGAGCAAAGAGGGUAAAGGGAAGAAAGAGAGGGGAGAUAGGAGUAGAAUACAAAGUAGAGGUGAUCCUGAUCAAAAUUGUAAGCAGGGUUCGAAUCUAUGGCUGUGGCUGUUAGUGGCCUAUUUUUGUUUCAGAUAUGAAAUAUCUUUUUGAUGUUGAUUUCAUAUGAAGCACCGAGCAGGGAGUUUUGUUACAACCUAUAUAGCAUCUUAAAUUUAAAAAAGUAAGGAUCAAAAGCAAGAUAUGCUGUCUCAAUACCGGACUCUGUAUCGGUGCCAUUCUAUAACCGUAUCGGUACACGGUACAUCUAGUACAAAGGCUAAUUCGGCAUACCGGUUGUCGGUAUACCUUCUAUACUACAUAUUGGUAUUGAACAGAUACAGUAUGGUACGUUUUAUACCAUUUGAUUCGGGACGGUAUGGCAUAAUUUGAUUAAAAGAUUGUUGCUUGUUUUUUUUUUUAAAUAAACAAAAUACAAACACUUUGUUGCUGAACCUUGGCUUAAAUUGCUUUGACAUUUUCAUUCAGCUCCAUGAACAAAAGCUUACUCCAUCUUCAAUGUAGUCCGGUGAUUGAAUCUUCAUGUGAUUGCUUAUUAGUUGAAAUGAUUGCAUCUUACUGCCAUAUACUGUUUGUAUCUUGAUUCCAGAUUGCCAGCCACGGAAAUACAAAGUGUUGAUUCUCCAUGCAAUUUUUAAAACCAACAAAAAUAUAUCUGUAUGAGUAGAAAUCAUGUGGUGAGCAUUACGUAUACGAGCGGACAUACACCAAGGAAGAAAAAAUUUGGCAGAGAUCUGACUUUAGUGCUACAGGCACGUGGAACAAAGGUAUAGCGGCGUGCGAUGCUGUAAGAGGUCAAAUUGCAAACCAUAUCGCUUGCAAUCCCAAACACAUGCUCCGGAUGGAGAACUCAUGGAGCAGAGGAUUGAUCGAGUCAGAGGAUCAUUAUGGAGCAGGAGACGAUCAACGAUAAAAGGGCACCGAGCGGACAAAGGGUGCCUAGAAAAAGAAAGACAAUGCCAAAAACGAAACGGACGUCAAAAGUGCCCCUUAAUGUGACCGUAUGGAAAAGAGAGAAGAAGCUCAUUAAUGUCGUAUGAGUUUCUUGGUACGUGGAUCCUUUUCGCAGCCCAUGCACGACUGCAAUCGUCACACCACCCAGGUACAGAUCCCGGUCCGCAACGGACGCGAACACCUCCAAACCAGGGUGAUCAGGUGGCUGCAAUGCCUGGCCGGAGGACACCCAUCCCUUGCAAGCAGGCCUGCAGCUGAUUCCCACCCCUCUCUGUGGCCUUUCGGUCACCCCAGCCGCCAACUCCGAGUUGCGAGACCUGUGGGCGCUUGGUCCAGCCCGCCCAGAAUUGGAGCACAUUUCAUUCGUUGCACGCCGCCACAUGGCCCCAAGAAUUCUACCUGGGUAAACGCCCUGGCGCCACGUCUCCGUGCCCCUCCCCCGGGCAGGGCCCUGACUCGUGGAGCCCACUUCCUCCCGACGUGUGGCCGGUCCCAGCCUCGUGUCGCCCUCUUCUCCCUCGCUCAUUAUGGCUACCCUCCUCUUGCCUACUUGGCGUCCUCCCGUGCCACCCCGCUGACCCCAAGCCCACCCCAUUCCGGGACAGGAUAAGGACCCCCCCGGCUCCUUUAGUAUCCCCCCGUGCCACCCUCCCUUCACUCCAACCCCCCACUGUGGAUCAUCGUAUGGUUUGUGCUGCUCCCAUGGGACCUGAAGAGAAGAAGCACAAGAAGUGCUGCCCUCUCAGGAGGUCGAGGAAAGGCUGCAUGAAAGGCAAGGGUGGGCCUGAGAACCAGGCCUGCGCCUUCAGAGGCGUGAGGCAGAGAACCUGGGGGAAGUGGGUCGCCGAGAUCCGCGAGCCAAACCGUGGCGCCCGCCUCUGGCUCGGGACCUUCAACACCUCCCUCGAGGCCGCCCAGGCCUACGACGCCGCCGCCCGCAGCCUCUACGGCGAGUGCGCGCGGCUCAAUCUCCCCGAUUCGUCCUCUGUCAGAUCGGCAUCGACCACGCCGGUGUCGAUCAAGUCGGACUCUCCGAGCCAGUCGCCCGCUACCAGUACCAGCGAGUCGAGGGUGAGCUUCCCUGAUAGCACCAUGGAGUCGCCCACCUAUUUCUACAACGGCGGCGGUGGCGGCCUUAAUGAUUUAGAUGAUUAUGUCACGAGGUUGCCAAAGGCUGAGGAUUUUGGGCUGGAGGCUUUCCAGGAUGUGCCGCUCUUCGAUGAUGUCGGAUAUUCGAAUCCAGGCUUUGACGGGGAGCUGAUGAAUUUUGAUGCUUUGCAACUGUCUUGGUGUCCUUGAGCAGCUUGAUCUAUGGUAGAUGGUGUGUUUGUGUGUAUGCGUGCCUGUCUGUGAAUCUUUGUGGAUCGUUAGGGAUUUCUAUAGCAUAUAUAUAUAUAAGCCUGUGGGAUGAUGUAAAUUAGCAUGUCGUAAAGUGUCGUAAACAGUCAUCAGUCACCAGCAUCCCUUUUAUUUGGCGAUGCCCCUCUGGUGAUUGUUCCUUCUAUAGAUAUAGACGACUACACUUUUCUAUAAUAUGGUCUUUCAUGAGCAUUCUUGCAAUCAAACUUCUAAUUGUUGUUGCUAAUCGGUGAGAGAGAACUCUGACCGAUUUGGAUUCCCCNNNNNNNNNNNNNNNNNNNNNNNNNNNNNNNNNNNNNNNNNNNNNNNNNNNNNNNNNNNNNNNNNNNNNNNNNNNNNNNNNNNNNNNNNNNNNNNNNNNNNNNNNNNNNNNNNNNNNNNNNNNNNNNNNNNNNNNNNNNNNNNNNNNNNNNNNNNNNNNNNNNNNNNNNNNNNNNNNNNNNNNNNNNNNNNNNNNNNNNNNNNNNNNNNNNNNNNNNNNNNNNNNNNNNNNNNNNNNNNNNNNNNNNNNNNNNNNNNNNNNNNNNNNNNNNNNNNNNNNNNNNNNNNNNNNNNNNNNNNNNNNNNNNNNNNNNNNNNNNNNNNNNNNNNNNNNNNNNNNNNNNNNNNNNNNNNNNNNNNNNNNNNNNNNNNNNNNNNNNNNNNNNNNNNNNNNNNNNNNNNNNNNNCGGAAAUGUCUGUGCCUUAAAUGGGGGCUCGAUAACCUCUUCUCACCGAGGCGCCUUUUGGGGGCAAAACCGUGAGGGAUGGAAAGGGUAGUUCCACCCGGAGCGCCACCAGAGGGUGAACCCCUGGGAGCGGUCGACGAUCCCCGAUUCCCAGAGCGGACAAUAUCUCGGUGAGGACGCAGUCACUUUUCCUGCACGGCUGGUAUGCGGAAUGUUGCCAGGAUGAAAACCCCGCAACACAACAAAAUACGGUAUUUAUAAUCAGAGUGUUAACUGAUCCAAAAACCAUAUAGUUAUCUUGAAGUUCACAAAACCUGGUUGACGAAAAAUAGCCUUUGGUACAAUUUUCACAAUGCCUUAUUAUCUGGCACGUACUUGAACCCUGAAAGAACCUUAUUUGAACAUAGCCAGGUCUUCGUAUAAUCUUAAAUUAAUCUACGUAGCUGUGCCACAAGCUUACAGCCAUGUUUUCGACCCAAAAAAUACAAGGUAGAAAGAAUAGUCAUUGUCCAUGGAUCUAAAUCCUCAGAUCUCCGGAAAAUCAGAAUCCGGAGAGAUACUGAAGACAGGCUUAUCCUUGGCUGCGACGUUACUUGCUACGCUGGUACUGCUGCUCUUCCUCCUUGGCUUUGCCUCGCCCAGCAUCGUGAGUACGUCCCUCAUAGAUGGCCGGUCUUUCGGCAUCUUUGCCGUGCAAAGUACUGCAAUCCGAAGGACUAAAAGCAUCUCCUCUUGAACAUGCUUGCAUUGCCCGCCAACGGUCGGGUCCAGCACUGCUUCGAUCCCUCCGCUAUUUCUUAAUUUCUCGCGUACCCAUCCCACGAUGUCUUGGCACUCGCCAAACUCAGGCUCUAUCGGUCUCUUUCUCGUCAGGAGCUCCAUAAGAACCACUCCAAAGCUAUAGAUAUCACUCUUCUGAUCCACCUUCAGAGUGUAGCCAUACUCUGCCAUUAAUAAAACUGAAAUCAGAACACAGAUCCUCCAACUAUUAACACACGAACAUGGAGUAGAGAACUAAAGAACUAACCUGGAGCAAUGUAGCCGUAAGAUCCGGCGACCAUCGACACGGUCUCGUUCUUCCUCGCCAUCAUCCUUGCAAGCCCGAAGUCGGCGAUCUGUGCCUCGAGGUUUCCGUCCAACAAUAUGUUGUUGGAUUUGAUGUCGCGGUGUAUGAUGGCGGGAUGGCAGUCAUGGUGGAGGUAGGCAAGCCCUUGGGCAAUCCCAGCUGCCACAUUAUACCUCGACACCCAGUCGGCCAGCAUCCGGCCGGCCUGUGGCCCAUGCAGAGCCUCCCAGAGACUCCCAUUGGGCAUGUACUCAUAUAUGAACAUCGUGUCGGUGUCAUUGUGCAUAUAGCCGAGCAGCCUCACUAUGUUGCGGUGCCGGAGCCUCCCCAAUAGGCUCACCUCUCUGGUAACGUCGACUUUGAGCUCUGAAUUCCAUGCCUCGGCCUCCGUCCCUGAACGCCAGAGCUUCUUCACUGCCACCGCCGUAUGGGGUCGCUGCAGCUCGGCCUUGUAGACAAUUCCGGUGGCGCCCAUUCCAAUCACGUUCGACUCCUUGACGCAUGCGAGCACAUCAUCGCUCGUGAAAUUGAGCCGUUGGAAUGCCGUCAGCCUCCACGGCCAUGCGUUGUUCUCUUCGUCGAGCUGCUCCUCGCAGCAUCCGCCAUCGAUGUACCACCUCCUGUAGAGUUGUUGAGCUCCGUAAAGAGUGACGCCAAAGGCGAGGACCGCCAAGAUCCCCGUCAACCACCCGACCAGGAUGUGUUUGAUAUGGGCGCUCUGUCGUCUCCUCGGCGUUGCCCCACCUGAUCCUGUGGCACAUCGGGGUAGUAGUACUCCACCACACAGGCCAGGGUUGCCGGCAAGCUCGUCGGGAUUUAUAGUGCUCAGUAUCCCAUUUGCCGGCACUGGGCCGGAGAGAUUGUUGUAGGACAAGUUCAGUGUCUCGAGAGCCGGCGAGCUCCCGAAGUUUUCCGGGAUAGCGCCUGCCAGGAGAUUGUUGGACAGGUCGAGGAUGGCGAGUGCUGGCAUCAUCGCGAUCGCCUUCGGGAUCUCCCCGGUGAAUCUGUUGCGCUGUAGAUUGAGGUUGACGAGCCUCUGGCACGAGGCGAGGCUCGCUGGAAUGCUUCCAGUGAGGCGGUUGCUGGAGAGAUCAAGGAUGGCGAGCGCCGGGCAAUCUUGGAACUGGUCUGGAAUCCCUCCGGUGAGCUGGUUGUCGGAGGCCAUGAAGCUCUGGAGAGUGGGAAUGGAGAGUACAUUGGAAGGGAGGGCUAAUUGGAGCUGGUUGUGGGAGAGAUCAAUGAAGGAGAGCGACGUGGAGAAGGCGAUGUCAUUUGGAAUCUCGCCUCCAAGCUCAUUGCUCGCCAAUUCCAAUCUCUGGAGCUUCGGCAGCUUCCCGAGCCCGCUCGGGAUCGUGCCAUUGAGCUUGUUGUUCUGCAUCCUGACGCGAACCAAUGACAAGCACGUCGAGAGACUGGUCGGGAUCGGGCCGGAGAAGGCAUUGUUGAAAAGGAUGAGCUUGGUGAGGUUGCCGCCAUUGCAUAAACCAGUCGGGAUCUCGCCGGAGAGUGAGUUCGAUGACACGUCCAGCCACUGCAGCGGCGAGUUGCGGCCGAGAUUUGGAGGUAGGGGCCCGGUCAGCGAGUUGUUCCAGAGCGCGAGCACCUCCAGCUGGGGCAGGUAGCCGAUGCCCGGCGGCACCGGGCCUUCGAGCUGGUUGCACAUGAGGUUCAAGAGCUGGAGGUUCUUCAGCCGGCCCAAUUCCGGCGGCAUCGCACCGGCUAUCUGGUUAUCAGAGAGAUCAAGCACAGCCAGUGCCGACAUGUGCCCGAUCUCCUUGGGGAUCUCGCCUUCCAAAUUGUUCUUGUACAAGUAGAGAGUGGUCAGCAGCUGCAGCUUCCCCAAUUCCGGCGGUAUCACGCCAUCAAGAUUCCCGAAUGCCCCGUCGAGGUAGUGGAGGUUUGACAGGUUCCCGAAUUCAGCGGGAAGACCCCCUUCAAACUCGUUGUAGCCAAUUAUGAGCUUCUCCAAUGAGGAUAGCUCACCGAGCUCCACCGGGAUCUUUCCGGUGAGGUUGUUGCCGGAGAGGCCCAAGAACUUCAGUUUCUGCAGGCUUCUGUAGGAUGCCGGUAUUGGCCCCUCGAAGAAACUCCCUCGGAGAUCUAUGACCUCCAGGGAUGUGGCAUUGGCAAGAUCCUCGGGUAGUCGGCCGACGAAGUUGUUCCCCGAUGCAUUGAGAGCCGUUAGACCGGCGCAUGCGCCAAGACCGGUAGGGAAAUGGCCCACAAGUGCAUUCUGGCUUACAUCGAACUCCUUGAGCAUGGAGAGGCCCGAUAGUGUUUUAGGAAGCGAGGAGGAGAAGAAAUUGCCGCAGAGAUUGAGACGGAUGAGACUGGGGAGGUGUUGGAUAGCGUCAGUGAUCUUGCCACUGAGGUUCAUGCGAGAGAGGUCGAGACUCUCGACGAAGCCCAUUGAAUUGCACCCAACACCCGUCCACUUGCAAUGCUUGGAUUCCUGGUGGUCGGCCGGAGCUUUCCAAUCUUGGAGAGCAUCCAAGGGGUCGAUGAGGCCAGCUUUGAUCGAGAGCAGGGCCGACAUCUCGUCAUUUUCGGCGACAGCAGCACGGGAAAUGGCAACGUCAGAAGAGAAUGCGAAGAAGAAGAAGAAUAACAGUAGAAAAAAAUUAACUUGCAUUUUGCCUCCUCUCCUCCUCCUCCUCCUCCUCCUCUAGCUUUGUGCCAUUUCCUCUAGCUUUUUUAUGUUUUGCUCCUCUGCAACAACGGAAUUGGAGUGGGGAGAGUUGAAAGAGAGGAGUCUAUAUGAAGAUGGCAAGAAGAUGGGUUUUGCUGUCACAGGAAAUGGCAUAAGGCUCUUUUUUUUUGGAUAAUGACAUGACUUUUUUUUAAAUACGUCCUUGAUUGCUCUUCUGUCUUUCUGUUGUUUAAGUUUUUGUUAGCUCGUGAGAUCUUGGGUUCUGGAACAGCUGUUAAUCUACCUUAGGCUUUGGACAUAAGCUAAAAAGUCUUUGGAUUAAUAUAAAUCAUACCCCUAGCAUCAAACAUGGAGAGAAUGUGUUGAGCCCUAUCAUGGAAAUAUAUUUUAAUUCUUCUCUGGUGUGGAGUGGGAGAUUGGAAGGGACAGACUGUUCCUUUGCUUGGGAGAGUUAAACUUCUGCUUUGUUCCUGUAGCUCGAACCUGCUGAUGGGGUGAUGGCUGACACAAAAGAUGUUCGCUUUCAGCCCAAGUAAAUAUAAGGCGUGCAGAAAUUGUACUUUGGGUAUAUCAGAUACAAAUGGCAGAAAGGCUGAGAGUAAACUAAUGGCUGGAUAGUUCAUGCUUGUGAUAGGUUUGCAGCAAAACACCUAGAGGGUACUUAGAUGGUAACAUUUGAUUAAGCUGUACAGAGUUAAAACACUCAAAAAGAGGCUAGCUGAUGAUCAGUCUCCCACAAAUUAUCAUUGUCACAUCUAGCUGAACUCCAGUUUUUCUCAAGUAUGGAUCUUAUCAUUAGAUACAUACAUGGUAGUUUUCUUAGUAAUCCUUCUGUGCUCAUGUACUUCAAGGCCGAAGAAAGGGUGGCCCUAUAUUCUUUUCCUUCAAUUGCAAGAUGCUAACAUAGCUUGCCUUCUGUUCUUCCUUAGCUCAAUUAAAUUGGAUAAGUACUAGGCAGGAUGCUGUCAUAUCAUUCCCAUUUUCUGUUGGUAAUGGCCCUCCGAUUUGCAUUGCUUGUCUCAGUGAAUGCAGCAGUCUAGUUCUGCCUGUUCUUAAUUCAAGUCUCAUGCAGUCCUAGAAAUGACAGAAUAUCUCAUCAUAUAAUCAACAUCAAGUGUUUCUGGGGCACAAUUGGACCUAUUGAUGGUCAUUAUUCAACUUGAAGACCAUCUUUUACCAUUUGGAUAAGCCUCUGAUAUCUGACUUAUCUGGUCUUUAUUAGAAAUCAAUUCACAGAUGUGGGUCUUGUCAGACUGUUAUAAAUCAAUUGUUAGCAAUAAAUUUGGUUGAAGCAGGUGAAUUACUAGUGGCCAGGACAAUUCCGAGAAAGACCAGGACUCAAGUGUCCUUAUCUUCUGAAUCGAGCAAGAUGAUGCCCUGAUGAUAGACUAGUUGAAACAAGAUUUUCCCUAAAUUAAAAGGAUCAAAAUAAUGAUAUAACCAUCAGACCCUUAUAAGGUGUCACCCCUUAGUCUAAUGUGCAAGUAAGUGCUUGGCAAAUCAAGACAAACCAAGACACCGGAAAUGGAGUAGCAAAUAUAGCAAUUCUGACCACAUGUAAUUCGAACACAUGCAUUUCUCAACUAUUGGUAUCCAAGCGCUUCUUUUUUUUCUUUCUUUUUGGUUCACAAACGUUAUUCAUAUAGUUCUCACAUGAGUACAGCCUGCCAAAUCAAAAGCAAAAAAGGUAAUACAGAGGAUGAGGUAUAUCUCCGACCCUGAUUCAAAUCACUCCGCCCGAAUAUCAGGCCACAAAGAAAGUGAUCCAGUCUACCACACUGUUCGCCUUCCGAUGCACAUAUGCUAUCUGGAAGAAAUCUGUCUCCCUGGCUAGACCGCAGAUCUCGUGAAGUAGCGGGUGGUCAUCUCCAUCCGGAUCUUCUCUCCGUAUCCAGUCAACUACCGUGGUAGAGCCCUCCUUUAGUAAUAUCAUGUCGGCUCCAAGGAGGUCCUCUUCACAUAAGACAUGCCCUCCCAGGCAGCCUGCAAAUCCACCUCAAUGACGGCCCGGCCGGUGAUACGUCGCCCUCCAGCUACAAUCAACAUACCCAGAUGAUCUCUAAUCACAAAGUGCAUUCCUCCGUGUGCUCCGUCUGCCAACCAACUACCAUCGAAGUUCACUUUAAAAUGACCAAGAGGUGGGGGUAUCUAAGAGAAGAAGGCAAAUGUGGGCGCUAUGACAGCAGUAUGGGUGUCCGAGAUCCAAACGCUCCUUAAAACACUUUAUGCUACGAGCUGCAUGUAUUUCCUUAUAGUUGGAGCUGUAGGAAAUGCAAACGAAGUCUCCUGCAGUACAAAGUUAACAAAACUACGACCAACCUUAACCGUUGCCUUAUCUUCUAUCACGCGAACCGAAACAAAUAACCUGUAACUGAUGUGCAUCUGGUUUAUUUAGCAAACUGCCAUGAACAUUUCAUCAUGAUUUCCGGAGGAAUCUUUCCAUGUUAUGCCAUGCUUGGAUUUGAGAGAUAACACCUCAGCUGUACUUUCUUUAAUGGAUAAAGAGGAGAAGGCAUUCAACUUGGCCAUUCGACGAGAUGGAAAGCCAGAAAAGCGGGAGAGAUGGGGGGUGGCGAGGCAUCAACAUGCAAUCAUGGAGAGGUGGCCACCGAACCGCACUACCUCAAGCCACAUGCACACAUGGGCCGGACCAGUAUUUAAAUGGGCGGAGAACAUGGGGGCCAUGUGACAGACCACGUGAAGUCCUAUCUAAAGCAUGGCCGCGAGUGAAAGCUUUAAAAUUUAAACCAAGCACGAAUCUUGAAGCUGCUGAGAUUUUGAUGUGCAAUUGGCACACCCACCAUAUGUUAUGUCGAAUUAGUGAAGGGAAAAGCAGCAAAACAUCCUACAAAAUGUUACACUGGUAUGCAGAAUUUGGACUUGUCCCGAUAAAUUAGCCCAACUUCAACCAACCCAAACUCAUUGAGAAUACUCAUGUUUAUAUACAAAAUUGAUGAUAAAAAUCAAACCGACCUGCUGAUAGACAGUGAUCAAUGAAAGCAAAUUCUAUAUGGAAGCAAAUUCUACAGUUGUUUUGCUAAGGCUAUGUCAGUCUGAAUGAAGCUCCUUCCUUUUGGCUUUAUAUCAAUUUAGAAAGUAUGCCGCUAAGUUUAGGACAAUAGCAUUUCGCGUUAGAUUAUUCGGCUAUUAUUAGUUAAUACAAAAGGCUCAGACUAUUUUCCGUCAUAGAGUAGUUAUUUUGGGCAAGUUUUUCGCUUCUCAUCUGGCCCAAAGAUUUUUUUUUUUCCCUUCUAAUUUAUAUUCAUUGUCCUGGGUGCUAUGUUAUACGCAUGCGUGCAUGUAAUUGUGAUAGCAGCAUGGAAUGGGCCAGUGGACAAUUGUAGGAGUCUACGUUGCGAAUUGUUUUUGGGCUUGGGCGUCGAUGUUGGGCCCCGACCACGUAGCCAGCUCUAAGGCCUAGCCAUAGCUUGAUGCACAAAUGUCAAGCCUACAACUAAACACAGCCGCAGUCCGACUCUCUUGUUGGACCACCCAAUCAAAAGCCUAUGGCCCUAUACCCCCAUCUUCGAGUUUUCUCGAGGUGGACUUUGACGGUAGUGUGCUUGAGAAAGAUGGUCAAGGAGGUGCUGGGUUUGUGAUUAGAGAUGCCGACUCUAUAUUGAUCCCAGCAGAGGAGUGCCGACUCUAGAAUAUUUCUGUACUUGGAGUUGAGCUUAGAGCUUCUUGGAAAGGGAUCACUCAUGCGCGGGUCAGAUUGUGGGCAGAGCAUAUCCAUCUGGAAGAGAACUUAGCUACUAUGAUUAGGUGGAUUCAGGGCUACGGCCUACGUGAGAGCACAAAACGAACACCCCCUGCUACAAGACAUCAGAGACCUCUUGAGGGACUAUGGGGCCUUCUAGGUCACUCAUGCUUAUCGUGAGGCAAACAACGCAGUCGAUUGGGUCGUCUCGUUUAUUGUAGAGCACUUUGGCAGCAAGCUUUGUGAGAUCCACAAGUCCGCUCCAUCUCAUCUUUGUUAUUUUCUUUUUCCUAAUUUUUUUUGGAUGUACUGAUAGAAUGGUAUGAUAUAUCCGAUUUACCUAUUAAAAAAAGAAAAGAAAAGAAGAAGAAGGAAGAAGCACUCGACUUUCCACAGCAAAACGAUUUUCUUGAACAAGCCCAGCAAGUCGGGGCGAGGCGGGGUGGUUGGAUAUUCUUACAACAGACGAUAGUGCAUGGACCGGUUGGGCCUCCUUUUCUAUUUAUUUCUCAUCUUAUUUCAUUUAUCAAGGUGGCUUACCAUCAUUUUGCUCAAAAAAGAAAAAAACAAAAACAAAAACAAAAAAAAAUAGUGCUCGUUUUAUUUAGGCUACAGUAAAUUAGUACGAAGAAGAUGAUAGAAAACUUGACCAGAAAGGUACAGGAAUUUCCCUCACACUGGGAGGAUUCGAUUCCUGGUGGUGACAUUUUCAGUAUACUUCUCCCAAAAUAAAAGAAGAGUCCAUUAGGAUUUAAUUAACGAAAAGGGUAGAAAAUAACGUCCCAAUACUAGCUCGAGUAAUUUGCACCGGUAUUGACAAAGUAGGAUGUUCAGAGAGAGAAUGGGUGCAUUCGCAGGUCAGUCCGAGAGGAAGACUAGGAAGAAGAAUAUGAUGAUGAAGAUGUCAAAGUGAAGAAGAAAGAAAACGAAAGAUAACUAUGGUGAACAUGAACGACAACAGUUCUGUAGAAGUUGAAGAGGUUGAUGAGCAUCUUGGUGCCUGGUUUAAGAAUCUUUGGUUUAUUUGAUGACACAAUUUAACAAGUAAUUGGGAUGUUUUUUUUCCAUGUAUUCCAAACGAUCAUGAUGCAUUAGGACUUAUGCUGUAUAUGGAGCAAUAAUCCUUGCAUCACUGCCAUCAUGCAGUGCAUGGGCAGCUGUGAUUGUGAGCUAGAUCAUCAAGCUCAGUCUCUAAACUUGAGAGGAUCUGAAACUCUCCAAUAUCAUCCCUCUCAAUAAUGUUAGCUGAGAGGAUCAAAUCAGAAUAGAAGACCAAGUCAGCACAGAUUGUGUUUCAAAAAACUUAAACUCACGAGUCCUAACCACCCUCAGAUAACAACUCUUGUUUUUUCUUGUUUUACCUUGACCGAGUCUUGUGUAGUAAAUCUCGGGAUAUAUUCUGUAAUUGGUUAUCCCAAUACUCAAUAAAAAACAAGUAUCCACCCACUCUGUUAGUGUGGUGAGACUUCAAAAACCAUCGGUUCUUUGUUUUCUACUUAGUAUCAGAGCAUCUCAAAAUGACUUCCGCAUCUUCUUUGAGUGUUAGCAAUUUUGUAACACUUCGUCUUAAACCAGAAAACUAUCCACUUUGGAGAGAACAAAUUCUUGCCUUAGCUGAGAGUCAAGAUUUGUUAGAUUAUUUAACUGGUGACAUAUCACCCCCUCCAGCUCUACUCCCUGCCACUGGCGAUUCCACUUCAGCGCCCGUUCCUAAUCCAGAAUUCAAAAAAUGGAAGACCACCGAUCGUCUUCUACAANNNNNNNNNNNNNNNNNNNNNNNNNNNNNNNNNNNNNNNNNNNNNNNNNNNNNNNNNNNNNNNNNNNNNNNNNNNNNNNNNNNNNNNNNNNNNNNNNNNNNNNNNNNNNNNNNNNNNNNNNNNNNNNNNNNNNNNNNNNNNNNNNNNNNNNNNNNNNNNNNNNNNNNNNNNNNNNNNNNNNNNNNNNNNNNNNNNNNNNNNNNNNNNNNNNNNNNNNNNNNNNNNNNNNNNNNNNNNNNNNNNNNNNNNNNNNNNNNNNNNNNNNNNNNNNNNNNNNNNNNNNNNNNNNNNNNNNNNNNNNNNNNNNNNNNNNNNNNNNNNNNNNNNNNNNNNNNNNNNNNNNNNNNNNNNNNNNNNNNNNNNNNNNNNNNNNNNNNNNNNNNNNNNNNNNNNNNNNNNNNNNNNNNNNNNNNNNNNNNCACUUAGAAGCACUCCCACAAUGUCAUCAAAGAUCAACUUCUCCGUCGCCGAAGAGUUGCUCACCGCCAUCACCAGGCCCUCCCAGCUGUCAGGCAAUCCGGAGAGGAUUAGCAAUGCCCGAAUCUCAUCGUCAAAACUAAUCUCCACUAACUCCAACUGGGCCGUGAGUCCAUUGAAUUCGUUGAGGUAUUUAGCUAUGCUGCCGCCAUUUUUCAUACGAAGAUUAAACAACCUCUUCAUGAGAAAUACCUUGUUUGAUGCUGAGGGUUUCUUGUACAUCCGCGACAAUGUUGCCAUCAACUCCAUCGUCGUCUUCUCGUUUUUGAUGUUGAAUGCCACUUGGGAUGCAAGUGACAAUCUAAUGGUGCCGAGCGUCUUCCGAUCGAGGACCUCCCAGUCUUCAUCGGACAUCUUCUCUGGUUUCUUUGCUCUACCUCCAAGAGGUAAAUAGAGGUCCUUCUGGUAAAGGUAGUCUUCUAUUUGCAUCUUCCAAAACCCGAAGUUCGUUCCAUUGAACUUCUCAAUUCGCACCUUUCCUUCAUCCGCCAUCGCAGAAAACCAAUAGCUCUGAUACCACUUGUUGUCAGCGAUCCGCACCGGAACCCACUCACACCGGCGCCGCCACCGACGUCGGACAAGUAAAGAGAGAUACGAACGGAUAAGCACUCUCUCGCUCCCUCGACUCCGGACUCAAGGAUCACCUCUUCACUCCGCCUACGAAGGGCAAAAGAUUACCCCGUGGUAUCAGUAGGGUAAAACACUUGAGCACCGCAACGGAUUAUCAAAGAUCAAAGAAAGGAGAAGGAAGAAAAUAGCAAAGCAAACACAAAGAUGUAACGAGGUUCGGCUACAAAUAGCCUACGUCCUCCACCGCUCCAAAUCUCAAUUAGGAUGAACUGAUUACAGAGAUAGCACACACCCGAACGAUCACAAGCGAUCGAUCUACAAGAGAUUCACACAGAAUUCCCUUUGCACAAGAAGUAGGAUCCCAAUCCUCUUCUUCUCUAGAACCCUAGCCUCACAAACAAGAGUCUCUCUCAAAAAUACGGCCAAUCCACCUUACCCUAGGGCUCUCAUGAGUCCUAUAUAUAGUCUCAAGACCUUCAGAUGAUCAUAGCCGUCAAAAUGCCAACAAAAUCCCAAAAGAAAGCUCAUCCGUAUGAUUCCCGCGAGCCCGAGUCGACUCGGCUGAAGUCCGAGUCGUCUCUGGCACGUUUGGACAACUUCAGCUGUAACUGGCACGAUCUCGAGUCGACUCGACACAGGCCUCGAGUCGACUCGACUGUUCCCGAGUCGACUCGACUGUAGCUUGAGUCGACUCUGACAGUCCAGACAGAAACAUGGUUUUUGCGGCUUUUCUCCUCUCGGGUCGACUCGACAGGCCUCGAGUCGACUCGACUGUUCCCGAGUCGACUCGACUGUAGCUCGAGUCGACUCUGACAGUCCGCCAGACAGAACUAUGCAGAAUUGAUUCUCCUUCAAUUCUCUUCAUCACCAAAGGUCUCCACAUACCCCAACACCCUGCUCCAUACCUAUGCAGAUUUUCCUAAAGAGCCACGCAAUGUCAAAAGUGCCCUUUCACAACUAGGUUGGAAAGCAGCGAUGAUUGAAGAGCUGGAAGCCUUGUCUCAAAACAACACUUGGCAACUUGUUCCUAGAAAGUCAUCCAUGAACGUAGUUGGGUCACGUUGGGAAUUUAAAGUCAAGUUGAAUGCUGAUGGUUCGGUUAGUCGGUUCAAGGCACGUCUAGUAGCCAAAGGUCAUCUUCAAGUGGAUGGGAUUGAUUUUUCAGAGACAUAUUCUCCGGUUGUUAAACCUGGCACUAUCAGGUUAGUUCUGACUAUAGCUACUAUCAAAGGUUGGAGUAUAUGUCAAUUAGACGUUAAAAAUGCUUUCUUUCAUGGUUUCCUCACUGAGGAAGUUUUUAUGGAACAACCUCCGGAAUUUCAAGACCCUCAAAAUUCUGAUCAUGUUUGCUUGUUAAACAAAGCUAUUUAUGGAUUGAAGCAAGCACCUCGAGCAUGGUUUAAUCGCUUCAGUUCUUUUCUUCUUGAAGUUGGUUUCAUAUGUAGUACAGUNNNNNNNNNNNNNNNNNNNNNNNNNNNGGCUGCAGGGGUCUUAGUGUUAUUACUUUAUGUGGAUGACAUAAUACUAACGGGAUCUUCCUCUUCUCUUAUUGAAACAUUUACAACCACCUUACAUAAGGAGUUCGCAAUGAAAGAUUUAGGUCUCCUGCAUUAUUUCCUCGGUAUUCAAGUCUCUGCAGUUUCGGAUGGCAUUAUUCUUCACCAAAGUAAAUAUGCUGUGGACAUUCUGGAGCGUGACUUUAUGCAUGAAGCAAAACCAAUUGCUACGCCAAUGUGUCAAAAAUCAAAGCCUGACCCGCAGUCCUCUCCUUAUAAGGAUCCCCAUCAUUAUCGGUCCAUAGUGGGAGCUCUGCAAUAUUUAACUUAGACACGUCCAGAUUUAUCUUUCUCUGUUAACUAUGUUUCCCAGUUCAUGCAGGAACCAACUAAUUCUCACUUCACUAUGAUUCGACGCAUUCUCAGAUAUAUAAAGGGUACAGUGCAUCUCGGCAUUCACAUACAAGCUUCAAGUUCUUUGAAAUUAUAUGCAUUUUCAGAUGCUAGUUGGGUGGGGUGUGCAGUCCCUCGUCAUUCAACAACCGGAUACUGUACGUUCUUGGGAAGCAAUAUUAUUUCAUGGUGUGCAAAGAAACAACCUACUGUUUCUCACUCAAGUUCUGAAGCUGAAUAUCGUGCAAUGGCACAUGCAAUAGCAGAACUCACAUGGCUUACGUUCCUAUUCAGAGAUUUACACAUUCCUCUGUCACAAGCACCCGUGUUAUACUGUGAUAACUUAAGAUCUUUGUUGAUGACAGUAAAUCCGGUGUUCCAUGCCCGCAUUAAACAUAUCGAACUUGACUACUAUUAUGUUCGAGAAAGAGUUGCACUGGGAUUGCUUGUUACACAUCACAUUCCAACUCAUUUACAGUUAGCCGAUGUAUUCACUAAACCGCAGACACGUGCUAACUUAGAGGAAUUACGACACAAAUUGUGCCUAGUUACCAUGCACAAUUUGAGGGGGGAUGUUAACAGAGAGGAUCAAGUCAGAAUAGAAGACCAAGUCAGCACAGAUGGUGUUUCAAAAAACUUAAACUCAUGAGUCCUAACCACUCUCAGAUAACAACUCUUGUUCAUUCUUGUUUUACCUUGACCGAGUCUUGUGUAGUAAAUCUCGGGAUAUAUGCUGUAAUUGGUUAUCCCAAUACUCAAUAAAAACAAGUAUCCACCCACUCUGUUAGGUGUGGUGAGACUUAAAAAAAACCAUUUUUUCUACUUUAGCCAAAUCAAGUGAAAGUAAACAGGACAAUGGGUUUGGAAUACAAGCUAAGCUUGUCUAGACAAACUUCCCAGUAUGCCGAGCGAUAUAUCAGGCGAUCCAGUUGGCUGCAUUAUUUGUCUCCCUGUACACAUGAGCUAUCUGACAGGAAAACAGCUCCCUCAAUAAUCUGCGUGUGUCCCGUAUCAGCGGAUGACCAUCCCCGUACCUGUUUGCUCCUAGGAUCCAGUCGAUCACCAGGGAGGAGUCACCUUCUAGGCAUAGGCAGUCGGCCUCCAGCACCCGUCUUGCAUAUAGAAUACCCUCCUAGGUUGCCUGUAGUUCCGCUCCCACUGCAAUCAGACCUAGGGUGCUUCUUCCUCCUGCUGCAAUCAAUCUGCCCCCAUGAUCCCUUAUCACAAAGCCCACUCCUCCAGAAGCACCAUCCUCUGCCAUGCCUCCAUCGAAAUUUACCUUAAGAUAACCAGAAAGUGGGGGUAUCCAAGAGAAACAGAUAAAUCUGGACGCUGAGACAGCGGUGUAGGUACCCCAGAUAUCCCUAGCCCUCCCAGGUAAUGACGAUGAAGCCAAACAAGUAAUCUCUGCCACAUGCCGCAUUACUCUAUCCAUCACGGCUCGUGGAGACGACCUCCUGCUCUCAAACACGCGAUCGUUCCUGUCCAACCAUAUAUGAUAGGACACAUAAGCAGACACAAUCCCGGUCUGUGCAGUACUCGGCCUCUAGAAAGAAACACUCAGAUACCUGAACAUGUCCUCCACAAUCUUCCACAGCGAAGAAAGAGGCACUGGUAAGCAUCUCCAGGUCUGCACAACUGUAGGGCAACAUAGAAGAACUUGGCUGAUGGUCUCCUUAACAUCAGGGCAUAUCUCACAUGUUGAGGUCAUCCGCAUCUCUCAUCUAGCAAGCACACUCCUGGUCGGGAGCCUACCCCAGGCCACCUUCCAAUGAGAAAGUGCCACCCGCAGAUGCACCUUCAUCCCCAGAUCCAUGCUCCAUCAAUUGGCCUAUUCGGCUCCUUGGUGGUCCAUGCAUGAAUAUCUAUGGCGCGCACCCUUGUCCGACCCGUCAGCAUCCAAAUCAAUCUAUCUAGCUCCUCCCGUAGAAAAUUGGUAAGGCCAAAAUCCUCUCCACCAGUUGCUCCCCAAAAGCCUUCCGGAUCAAUCCCUCAUUUCAUCUUCCCUCACCUGGAACAAGCAAAUCGCAUAUCUUGUGUCCCACCAGCCUGCCCGAGUCCACCAUAGUCGGUAGUGUACUAAUCGGUAGCUCAGUCAUCCAGCUAUUCUCGAUUAGAGGUCCCAUCCCUGAUAGCCCAUCGUAUCGCCGGAAGCACCAAAGAGGCUCUAGCACACAUCUCCCUCUAGAUGGGGGAGUGGCAUCGACCUACCCGAACACCCGGCCACAAAGUAUCAUACUUGGCCCUCAUCAAGGAGGACCAAAGACUGUUAGGCUCCAACAAGAAACUGGUUGCAAGUUGCGUCACUGAUGCCUCCUGUCUCGCCACCAGUGAUGGCACGCCCAAACCGCCAUGUUUGACCGGCUGACAUAUUGCCUCCCAUGCCACCAGAUGGAUACUGCCUUUGUCACCAUGCCACCCCCAAAUAAAAUUUCUAAUGAGUUGCUCAGCUGACCUUAACACCGACACAGGAACAAUGGAGUUGGACAAUAGGUAUAUCGAAAUAGAAUAGAGAACUGACCGUGCCAAAGUGACCCUGCCCAUCAUGGAUAGAGAAAGCAUCUGCCACCCCUAAAUCCUAUGUUUGAUACUGAGCUCAAGAGUCAAACAUUCCCCUCUAUGCAGUUCGCCGUCUAGAAAUCGGCACACCCAAAUAUCUCACCAUAUCAACAUGCUCACCUACUCCUAUUAUCUCCAUAAUCUCAGCCUUCACAGGAGGCUUGGUUUUCGGGCUAAACAGAUGGUAGACUUGGCCAAAACACUAUCUUCUUCUUUAAAUACUUGUCAAUGCCUUGUAGUGGAAGAGUGCAACAACAAGAUCGUGGUCCUCGAGUCUCCCUCAACCUCUUCAUCAUCUUUCUGUAUGGAGAUAGCCUCAGUGAUAGCAUCGCUGGCCAUAGCAGAAGGGACUACGUUCGGGUGGUCGUGAGCUGAGGAAGAGGAUAUGCAAACGAGUUUUUAGAGAUACGACGCUCGCUUUAGCCUCGUGGAAGUACCGACAACCAACAACCUCAGAGGUGCCGGCAUCCGAGAGAAGGGGAGGAGGGGAAGGACUAGGAACAAGAAGCAAAGAGGGUGGGUUUGUUUUUUUGAGUAUUUCAUUUUUUUUUAUUAUGAAAAAUUAUAAGGGCGCCUCCUCAACUUAAAAAAUUUUAAAUGAAUUUUUUAAGUUUCCAAAUUAUUCAAAAUUAAUCCUGUUUUUCAUCUUUAGUGGUAUAUAACAAUCACAUUAUAGAAAAAAAUUAUUGUAGGACAUAACUACUCUUGGUUGAUAUCAGGUGAUCUCUAUAUUUCCCUCUUCAUUCUCUCUUUUUCCUCCCAAGUUUUAAUCCAUUUUUUGCUGUAAAAUUCUAAAAGAAAUCUCCAUUAGAUCACCUGAUCCUAAAUGCAUCUCGUGUGGACCAAAAAAAUUAGAUUUUGCUCAUUAAUUCUGAGGGGGAAGGUCCUCUCUACAUUGCUAUCUCUUCGCUGCAGUAAUAGCCCUCGUUGAUGUAGUAUUGAUUCCCUUCUUUGUGAGUCUAUGAGCUCGUUUGAUUCGCGGGAAAAGAAGAGGAGAAAAUGUGGUCAACGGAAAAGUAAUGAGAUGCAUCUUGUUUGGUUGGAGUUUUCAAAUGAGAGAGAUGGAAAAGUUGUAUUCCCAUUGGAAUAUGAUUCUCACAUUUUAUAGAAAAGUCUUUCCCAUGAGAAAUAUAGAAAAAUUACUUUUCUAUGAGAUGGGAAUCACUCCAUUUUUAUUUUUUUCAAAAAGACCCUUCAGCAUUAAAAAAGCAUUAAAGAGGCUUUUCUAUGAGAUGGGAAUCAGAUAUUGUUUUGUUUUUACGCCAAUGNNNNNNNNNNNNNNNNNNNNNNNNNNNNNNNNNNNNNNNNNNNNNNNNNNNNNNNNAAUAGGAAUUAUACAUAACUUUCUCAGGAAAGUGGAUGGUCAACCAAACAUAAGCAUUUUGAAAAUCUGUCACUUUCCCAUGAUCAACCAAAUAUACCAAAAGUACUUUUCUAGGCAUACUAUUUCUAGGAAUCUGCUUUACAGAAAUCAUAUUCUUAGGAAGGAAAAUGUUUCCUGCGAACCAAACGAGCCCUAUAUUGGAACAAGGGUGAGUCUCCAAGGCCUAAUUGCUUCUUAAAUUACGUUAAAUCUCUAUGUAAGUCCUGUUUUUCUUGUGCUUCUCUUCUUUUUCAAGGCAUUUUGAUGAUUGCAAUGGGAGCAACCUGAGAAUUUGAAUAGGAUUCGUGUGGAAAAAUUUGAGCUUUUGGAUGCUCUGUUUGUGCGUAUUGUGGAAUUUUGGGAUUUGGGUUUGGAGCUUUCCUGUGAUAAACUAAAGGAAAGGAUUUAUGAAUGAUUUCUUUUACAUUAUCAUCGAAUUUUUAUUUGACGGAUCUAAGAUUUAGUUGUCAUUAGAAUCCGUCAAACUUCUCGUCUACAAUUAUUCUCCUUUUUCUACGGCCUUUCUCCCCUUUUUUUUGAAGCUUCUGGCGAUGGAAGAAUACCUAGGAUACAAUUCUAGUGGAAAAACUAAAGCUUGGUUUCCUUGUAAUGUUAUUGUUAAAGAUUGGAUUUUUAGAACGAUGACUUUGAAAAUCUCUAGUUUUGUUCAAUUUUGGUUUGGGACCUCGGGCUUGCAUGAUUGCAUCGGACAAAAAAAAAAGAAAAAAGAGUUGACUGGUCAGCCCAGACAUAUUUUAUAAAAUUAUCGCCAAAUCCAGGCCGGAAAACAUCUAAAAGUCGUUGACGACGACGGUUGACCUGGAUCAUAAAGAACUGGAUUCGUGGAGGAUCGCGAUUGGAAACGAUUGAAUGGCUCCGGCAUGUCUUAUCCAGCUUCGUUCACCUCCGAGUCAUCGGCGCCGUUCACCUCACCUAUGGGAAAGCCUCUGCCUCUUGGCCUCGGACACCUGCUCCCAUGGCUUUUGAGCUUCCUGCUGCUCCCCUCUCCAUCCCUUGCCGAUGUCGGCACGGCCUCAUUCUACGGACCGCCGUAUCUUCGUAAGUGCCACCGCCGCCCAGAAAAAACCACCGCCAUCUCUCUCUUUUGUGCUUGAUCGUAUCGUUCUCUCUCCAACAGCUACUGCAUGCUACGGGAGCGACGAGGGCCAGUUCCCUGCGGACAAUCUCUACGCGGGCGCCGGGGAGGGGAUUUGGGACAAUGGCGCGUCCUGUGGGAGGGUGUACCUGGUGAGAUGCCUCAGCUCAGCCACGCCGGACGCGUGCGUCGAGGGCCAGACGAUCCAGGUGGUGAUCCUCGAUCGUGCGGCCACUCUGAAUUCGAUACCUUCGACGAACGGGACCACUAUGGUUCUCUCGAGCCCUGCUUUCGGAAUGAUAACCCAACAGUCGGUAGAGGUGAUCAACAUCGAAUUCACACCGUAAGAUCCUUCUCCCCCUUUUCUCCUGUUUGAUAAAAACAGAGUAUUUCCGUAUUCUUACCAUGCUACGAGGCUCUUUUGUCUUGAGUGCUCAUCUCCAUCUCCCCUGCUACCCGAGAAUGCAUUAAUGUUCUUCUCAGAGACCUGAUAACAUCCAACCAAUCACUUAACAUCCUCCGUCCUGAAUAAUCUCCGUCCUGAAUCAUCACACAUAGGCAAGUCUUCGCUCAUCGAGUGGAGUUUGGCUAUAUGACCCUACUUGUCAUCAGUCAAUAUUUAAAGCCAGACCCUGUUAACAUCAUCCCUUGCCCUUCGCCUUUUUUUUUCUUUAAUCUCUAUAUUUUAGUUCAUACCUUCAUAUAGGCCUUUUUUUGUUAUGUUGUAUCAAAACAAAAAGGCGUUAUUCUAAGAUUUUUGUUUUUUGGGCAAAUUCAUUAUUGUAAGGUUGGCGUAAUUAUAGGAAGUCUUUAGAUGUGAAUCGUCAUGCAACUCUAGCUGCACAGCCAUCAGCUUUCGCUGCUGGAUCCCUUGUGCUGAUUGCAAUGACGCUAGUGAAACAGAGUGCAUUAGCCACCGCAUUGCACUGGAUUAGAAUUUCUUUUUAAUUAUUUUUAUUAUUUAAGGAAAUGCACCUGCGAGUUAUAUUUGUGCUAGAAGGAGCUUUAGUUUUUUUUUUAAAAAAAAAAAGAAAACAAAGAUGAGGAGUGAUGUCCUGGUAUUCUCUAACAAGCACAAAGCCAAAUCCAGGUUAACCCCAUGUACCUAAGUUCCAGCCGCCUGAAGAAAGCUACUCUGGCUAAUAUUUGUAUAACUAGUUGCGAUUCAACGGUCUGGUAUUAUUUAAUAAUAUCUUAUUGUGAGGCACCGUGAGAGUCUCAAACUUGGUGCUGCAAAGAUUAGUGCAACCAUGUUACGUAGAAUCCUUUCUUAUCUAAUGCUGACCUUUAUCUCUUGAACUGUUUCUUUCUUUUCUUUUUCCACUUGUUUGCCGUUCAUUCUUGAGAUUGUGGUGCUAUAUGUACAACACUGAAUGUUGUUUUAUUUUGCAGUAUUUGACAGCCGCCAGAGAUCCCAAGAUCAGACCAAUUUUGAAGCAUCGUUAAAUUAAUUUAAUGUUUCAGGAAAAACAACAAAAGAAAGUAUAUUUUUCUUUCUUUUUUUAUUUUUUAUUUUUUUGCUAAAGAAAAGUGUAUUUUUCUAGUUCCUGAAUUGUGCGUAUGUUUUUUCCCCCUUUCAACUAGGUCAUUUUUAUUUCUUCUUCUAUACUUUCUUUGCUUUGUAAUGCUCUUUUUCCCCUUCAAAAAAUGCUUCAACUUGAGCGUUAUUGUUUCCCUUCGUCUCUCUUUCCUCUUUUUUUUUUAUAUUUUUUUAUAAAAAUUUAUAUAAACAUAUAUUCUUUCGGUUAACUAUUUUAAAUGAGAUCCUAGUUAGAUUGCCACACUCUUUCUCUCGCAAUUCGCUUCUGAUGUGCCUUUCUUUCGUUUGGUUAAUAAAGUCGCCGGACCCUCUGCUCCUCUCUUCCCCCCGCCCCCAAAAAAAAACAAGGGAUGGGAAAGAACCUUGCGUCUCGAGCCUGCCAAGAGUAAACGGGAUGCGAGUCGCUCAUAUUGCGUGGUGUCUUGUCAUUGCUUUCUUUUGAAUGGGCAUCGUCAAAUGUGCCACCGAGACAGGCAAAGUGAUUGGUGCAAAGCGAUUUUUUUUUCUGGGAGAACGUAGCAUCCGUGCAUCCGAAUGAGUGCGGUUCUAUUUGAUGCGGUCGUUUUCGGUUCUCAAGGCCUUCAUCCAUCAUGCUUUUCAGGUUCCAUGAAAGAAACAAAAUCUAUCAAAGCUAAACCGGCCGCCGGUGCAGCCAGGUCAAGUAGGCAGGUACAAAUUGGCUAUUCUCCACACGGCAUGAGGUCAAGGCGUGCUCGAUACGGCGGCAUUUUUUCGCCCGGAAAGGUUCGGAGGAAGCGUUGAACAACGGAAGGCAGAUGUUUCUUGGAAGAUUAAAGGACUUAGGAAAAUUCUAUCCUACGGACAAUGUACAUGCCCCAUCACAGUUUGAUGAUGGUGAUGACACGGGUCUCCAGAUUUUUUUGGAAACUGAUCUCAAACGGCAGGAGAAGAUUUUUUUGGACGUCAUGCAUUGCUGCAUGAAGAUUUGCGCGUGCCGAUGGGACACGGCUGUAUUUUCCGUGCAAAAGAUUUGCUUCAAGAUGUAUGCAGGUGGUGAAUAAAAUAAAACUGGACGUAUUUUGAGAUCCGUGCAGAUCACGAUCUGAUGGGCGACGUCUCAUUCUUUUGUGUCAGUGAUACAACCACAAUUCGUGCCGAUAGCACCGUAGAUGAUAAGCGGUUAAGUCCCCUUUGCGCAAAUGCACACCUUAAAAGCAAGAGAGAUGGUGAAUGACAAGGGUUUGUUCGGGGGUGCUGUGAUUUUGUGCUGCUUUUCCAUAAAUUAGUGAAAUAUUGUAGGGAGAUUGGCGUUGAAGAUAGCAUUUGCAUUUUUUUUUUUUGUUUCAAACCAAUAAAUCUCUGCUACCAAAUAUAUCUUAAGAUUUUAUAAAUAAUUUGAAAAAGAUAAAUAUUUUCUAGUUCAUGGAUUUUUGAAAAUAAAAAUAGGAAAAACUAUAAAGCACUACUAAAUGAGUCCUAAGAAACUGGAUUUUGAUGCGUGCCAUCUUGUCCCCAUGCAUGCAUCUGAGUAUCUUUAUAACCAUUUUUAUAGACAUUUAAUUGUAACCUAUUAUAAUGCUCAAAAUGCACAUGACCACUACUAAAAAUUACAUGUUUUGAGAUUUAUUUUAGUAGCUAUGGUCUUGAUUUAAUUAAAUUUGAUAUUUCUGCAGAUGUUGGAGUUUUAUUAUGCGCAAAAUCAUAAAAAUGCUGGCUUCAAAGGAGUUUUCCCCUCAACUGGCUGUUUAGUUAUCUCUAAGUUUUUUAAUAUAUAAUCAUAAAAAUAUGAUUUCCUGAAGCACCUUUUAUGGAAAACAAAAAGGAUUUUGUUCGUAGCAGAACUCAUUUUUUUAAGUUUUAUGACUUAGCCAAUUUUAGCCGAAGGAGUUUUACAGAUAGCCCUCAUGCUCAUUUUCUUUUAUAAAAAAAAUUGGCAUACUUUAAAUUAUUGAGAGAGAUCUAAUCAAGGUCAUUAUGGGAAUUGUAAAAGAAAAUAUAAAGUAUCUAUUUGCGAUCGUUCAUAAAAUUAUGGAAAUCCCAACUUUAAGGGGGAGUUCUUUAUGAGGCUCCUUCUUCUCAAAGUGUAAUAUGAAGAUUUCUUUAUUACUAUUAUAACGUUUAGUCAGAUUUAAAUCACUGACUAGGAUCGAUCAUUGGGAAAUUCUAAAGUCGGAAAAGAUAGCUUCUUUUAUGCAAAGUCAAGUCUCCCAUACUCAUAAACUUUAAAUGGAAGAGUUGCAAAAGAAUUACACAAAAAGCUAUCUAUUUUUCCUUCUCUAUAAAAUUUAUGACCAGCGCGUUGCAAUAAGAAAACUUACUUGGUACCGUACCAUAUACUCCAUCAAAGUCUUGUAUGCCUCAUAUGUCUUGACAGGAGGUCAUCUAAUCCUAUAAGGUAUGCAAGUUACAUUAGUUGUGAGCCCCUUGCAACUUACCAGCUAAAUUCCAAUAUAUUAACCAACAUUUAGGUGUUUUUGUUAAUUGUAGGAAGAGAUAAAUAAAUAGAUAAAUAUUUUUUUAACCAAAAAAAUAGAUAGAUAAAUAAAUCAAUUAAUAAAUAAUAAAUGAAUCAAUUAAUUAAUUAUUGGAAAUAAACAAAAUGAAAGAAUAGCAAUGUCUUAAUCAAAAUUUUAGGUGACGAAUCUAAAAUUAAUGAACUACUAAAGGUGUCAAACUCAAAUCAUCAAACUGAGAACUCAUCUAAUUAAUGAACCUAUAUUACAAGCAUAAACUCAGAAGAAUUCCCCUAGCGUAUGUUCAUAAAUCCACGAUUUGCGUUCUCUUUUGCUCGCAUAGUUAACUCAUGAUGAGAAAUGAAAUUAGAAUAGGGGAAAAAAUUGUAAUUUUCGAAUCUAUUGGGCUUAAUAAGCAAACAAGUAGAUACUACAAACGAGUACUCUAAGUGGACCCAAUCCUUUUCUUGGGCCCGGCCGGCAGCGCCGGCCAUCGGGGGGCCCGUUUCCCUACAAGAUCCGUCCAUCAAGACCGUGCAUCAACGCGAAAUGUCGGACAGUCCAAACUUUUUGAUUGGAGGCCAGGGAUCGACGAAAUCCCAGCCCUCAGAUAGUCCGAUCAGCGAGGCCCGGGGGGUGUACCCAAUGUCGCAGCCGCGUCGCGUUGCGAACUCUACGCCGCCCCACCGCACGUUAGAAUUCUAUGGGCGACGCGGUCCUCUUCUCCACUCUUCCUUAUGCGUCUUCUUCUUCCUCUUAAGCUCCAUUUCUCUCCCCCCUCCAAAAGGAAAAUCUUGGCAGCUCAUCGUUAGAUAAAUCUCGAUAUUUCCCCAAUAGAAAGGUUUGUUUUCUUGGAUUUUUCUUCAUUUUGUUUCUUCUGAAGUCCGAUGCGAAUUUAGAGAGAAUUAUGGCGAUUAAUUUCUUUAUCCUGCCUCUGACUUGAUGGUCUGUCUCGUGGGUUCUAGGGUUUUAGGGUUCGAUGGAGAUGCAGGUGGAGUCGGAGGUGCAGCGGGACGGGGAGCCGAAUCCGAAGGAUUCCGACCCUCUCCUCGAGAAGAAGGACGACUCGUCGUCGGGGACUUCGGACGAGAUAAAGGACGAGGAGAUCGAGGCUUCUUCCUCUGCGUGCUGCCGUAUCUGCCUCGAGAACGACUCCGAGCCAGGUGACUUCAUUUUACUGGCUUCUCAGAUGAUCGCUUCUUUUGAUUUUAGGUGGUUUUCUUUUUUGUUGGUUGGAGCUUCUGUAAUUGACGUCUUGACUUCUCGGAUUUGGGAUUUCUUCGAUAUUUCUUUUCUGAAAAUACUCAAAUUUCGAUUUCAAUUCAGCAAUUUAUGGUCAGCCCAGUUAUUCGUUAGGUUUGUGCCUUUCAUCAAUUGUCUUCUGAGUCCUUGACUAUGAAAGUGUCGGAUGACAAAUUGAGUGCAUGCGCAAAAUGCGAACUCUACGAACUGUAAGAUGUCAUGGCUGCUUGCCAGCAUCAGUUGCAUGCGAUGAUAAAGGAAGAAUACAAAACCCCUCAAUUCUUUAGCCUUAGAUCAAUUUGAACAUCUCUUUGCUGCCAACUUUGAAUAUGUGGAUUAUGACAUCAAUAAAGGUUUUAUUGUCUAGCAAAGAAUAGUAGAAAGAACUUGUUGUACAAACUGACAACUUACUUCUUUUAUCAUCGAUGCCGGCUAACUAGGUUUCUUUUUUGGAAUGGGGAAUAACAAUUGUUUUGUGGUGACCCCUUGAUGAUAAUCGCCUCUGCUUCAUGGCUGGACCCUAUAUUGGAAAUGUAUCUCAGUUGGAAGAGGGUGUGCUGCCAACAAAAUUGGGCCACUAGAACAAUGUGUUCGUGGUGAACAAUUAGGGAAAUGUGGUGGAAGGCCUAACCGUUGCAUAAGCAGACAGCAUGGCUGGAAACUGUAGGAAAUUUAGACCAAUCUAGAAUUUUGGCUGAAUUCUUGAUUUCACCUUUAUAGAGUGCUAGAGUUGUUCCAGUCUGUUGCAUCACCGGCUUUGGUAUUUCGUGCUUCUUAUCCUUGUUGGGACCCUUAAUAGGGUAAUUGUGGAUGUGUUGGAAAAAUCUCUAGGAACCAUCUUGUGAUCCAAUCGCCAAAUUUAGAGUUUUAUACUAAUGAUAGUUCAUUAGUCUGAGUUGUAUUUUGCUUUUGGUAAACUAUAUAAACCUAUCCUAUCCGUGGAAAGAAAUCUAAAAUGGUAUAAAAUAAACAGAGCCUUUUUAAAUCUCAUUAAUGUGUUCUGAAAGUGCGAAAAAAUAUGACCUUGUUUAAGUAGUUGAUCCCGGUAGGGCUUUCAUGUUUUUUUUUCUUCUAAGUCUUCUGUUUCAUAUUCAAUCAACAUCUCAUGAGAAGCCUACUUAUUUUCAUGACUUUACCAAGGUGGAAGUCAGUGCCUUUAUGAGGAAACAUGUAUUUAAUUUUGUUAUAUCCUUAUAAUUGUCAGGUUAACAUAUGUGCAUGUCUCUUUGUGCAAUAUGUUCAUGUAUUUAUGCUUAUUGGUUUUGACCUUUUAUUUAGUUCCAUCUGUCUUGCCAAUGGAUAGCUAAAACUGAAGAGUAAUUUGGGACAGAUGAAGAUAGAUAUAGAUUGUUAGAUCAAGGGCAGUCAGAGGUUUGCAUCUCUGCUACUAACAUAAUGCAGUGGUGUAGAUUUUACAGAUAACAUAAUGCACCAGACACUCCACUAAUUUCUGCACAAGCACGAGGCUAGGCGUCAAGGGGGUAAGAAUCUUAUUAUGACUUAUAUUGCAUUAGGUACCGUACUUGAAGCCAGCCUUUUAUAGAGCUUUCAAAGGUCGUGCUGUUGCCUCUUUUUUUUUGUGGCUAAGACCACUUUAUGAUAAGAACAUGCCAUUUCCCUGUUAAGUGACUGCUUUGCUUCUGAGGAACUACAUAUUGUAUAAGUGUGACAUACUGUAGCAGUUGGCAGUUAAUAUCAUCAUUAAAGUUAGAUGACAUAUGUUAUUGUUACUUUGGUGUAGGUGAUGAGUUAAUAUCUCCAUGCAUGUGCAAAGGCACUCAACAAUUUGUUCACCGUACAUGCCUUGAUCAUUGGCGCUCAGUGAAGGCAAUUUUCUUCCUUGGCCUUUUAUUAUGUUAAAACAUUGUGUAUAUGUAUUUGCAGAUAUCAGCAUGCCAUAUUACUCUUCAAUUUGGCUAUUUUGCACCUAAGGUUUUAAAAGGCAAAAGACAGAUAUAAGGUGGUUCUAACCUGGUGAUAUGAGGUGUAAGCCUGGGGAUGGCUUGAGCAAUGUCUUAUUAACUGUAAUUAAAUUGUUAAUACAAGCACCUUAAAAUAUUUCUAGGUGGAACAUAUUAUGAUGACCUCUACUCACAAUACCAGAGGUCCAAUGGAUAACAGGGUUUUCGACCCAUAUGGAACAGAAAAUCUAAAGUAGGGAUAAAGUACGGUUAAUAACAAAUGAUCAAGGGAAUGUUUAAGUAUUGUGAUAUAUUGUUUUCUUAUUACUAAAAAUACCAGUUCAUCAGUAUUUUAUCAGAAUGGUUGUAUAGAAUAAUGAUAGAGUAAAAUAUGCAGGUAGCAUGGAGCAUGCCAGCAUUAUAACUGAUGUUUGAACGAGUAGAAACUGGAUGAAGGAUGAAGUUGAGAGGGGUUAAAUUGUAGUAAUAUUAUAUUUGAAAUGUAGAUGGUACUAAUAGAAAUAUUUUUAAAAAAGGGUGAACUUUUGCAAAUUUUGUACCUGCCUCAUGGAACAACCAGUAAUGUGUAAACUUGAGCAACCUGUACUAUCUUGUUUCUUCCCAUCUUCAAGAUGCAGAUAAAACAAGGGCUUUGUUGCUGUCAUAGCUAUGGGUUUCAGAAAGGGUGGGCAUCAUGGGAUUUGGAAGUUUACUGAUUGAUAGGAAAACAACUUGAACUGGUUGAUAAGCAAAUAGCUUGAAAGCAUACUUAUCCCAAUAUUGAUUCUUACAGGUCCCAGGCUAUACUCCUUUAUUGAGAGUCAUGUGCCUAGGUCCAGUGAGGUGGUGGUGGUGCCUAGCAGCCAUAACAACCUUGUUAAGCUGGAAAGCAUUUUUCUCCCGACUUGCUUAAGGCGGUGGGUUUAAAUAACUCUUAUAUUUCAUCAAUCAUUGUACUAAAAAAAGAUCAGAUCAUUGUCAGCUAUGAACUUUGGAAUAUACCAUGGAGGUACUAACACCUUUGGCCCCCAAAAUACUUUUGACUGGGAAAAAAAAUCUGUACAUUAGUUGAUCCCAUACCCCCCCCCCCCAACCGAAAAAAAAAGAAAAAAAUCAUGUAAUUUUGUUUGACAUCAUGGGAUGCGAAGAUGUUUCAAUUCCUAAUAAAACACGACUAUUAGACAGUUUCCAUUCAUGGCAUGAUCUCUGUCUGCACGUCUUCCCCUCCCCCCAACUUCCCUUCCCCUCCCCUUCCUUCUUUACAUUUGAUAUCCUCUUUGCUCAACCCUUGGACAAGUUCCAUUCUUGAUAGAACUUGACUUAUAAAUGGUUUCUAUUCUCAUUUGUCUCUAUUUUAUAUCAUAGGUUUCUGAAAUUGACCAUCUUAAUUGAUAAAUGCUUCAUUAAUUUAACUUGAGUUUAGAUAUGGUUGCUGUGAGGCCCAAUAGUCCCACAUCGGAAAGACUCGUUCCAGAGCCUGGGCAUAUGAGGCGGGUGUCUCCAAAUCCUGCAGACGCGUUUUGGGUGGAAAACAAAACC